UAGGGGAGACGGGGUUCGGAACCCCUCCCCGAACCUAGGGUAACUCUGCAAGUGGAGGGGUC
rfam:Papio anubis isolate 1X1155 chromosome 15, whole genome shotgun sequence.